rnacentral:tRNA from 1 species
GCGCCCGUAGCUCAGCUGGAUAGAGCGCAUGCCUCCGGAGCAUGAGGUCGUAGGUUCGAAUCCUAUCGGGCGUA